AUUGAACGCUGCGGCAGGCUUAACACAUGCAAGUCGAGCGAGCGGCGGACGGGUGAGUAAUGCUUAGGAAUCUGCCUGUUAGUGGGGGACAACAUCCCGAAAGGGACGCUAAUACCGCAUACUAACAGAUGAGCCUAAGUCGGAUUAGCUAGUUGGUGGGGUAAAGGCCUACCAAGGCGACGAUCUGUAGCGGGUCUGAGAGGAUGAUCCGCCACACUGGGACUGAGACACGGCCCAGACUCCUACGGGAGGCAGCAGUGGGGAAUAUUGGGCAAAGGGGGGAACCCUCAUCCAGCCAUGCGGCGUGUGUGAAGAAGGCCUUAUGGUUGUAAAGAACUUUAAGAGAGGAGACGUUACUCGCAGAAUAAGCACCGGCUAACUCUGUGCCAGCAGCCGCGGUAAUAC
rnacentral:rRNA from 1 species